GGGUGCUCGAGUGGCGAACGGGUGAGUAACACGUGAGUAACCUGCCCUUGACUUUGGGAUAACUUCAGGAAACUGGGGCUAAUACCGGAUAGGAGCUCCUGCUGCAUGGUGGGGGUUGGAAAGUUUCGGCGGUCGGGGAUGGACUCGCGGCUUAUCAGCUUGUUGGUGGGGUAGUGGCUUACCAAGGCUUUGACGGGUAGCCGGCCUGAGAGGGUGACCGGCCACAUUGGGACUGAGAUACGGCCCAG
rnacentral:rRNA from 1 species